rnacentral:rRNA from 1 species
AGAGGUUACUGCUAUCAGAGUUCGAUUAAGCCAUGCGAGUCGAGAGGGUUCGGCCCUCGGCAGACUGCUCAGUAACACGUGGAUAACCUAACCUCGGGUCGGGGAUAAUCCCGGGAAACUGGGGAUAAUACCCGAUUCGUUACCUAUGCUGGAAUGCUUGGUAGCAAAAAGCUCCGGCGCCCGAGGAUGGGUCUGCGGCGGAUUAGGUUGUCGCCGGUGUAACGUACCGACGAGCCGAUAAUCCGUACGGGUUGUGAGAGCAAGAGCCCGGAGAUGGAUUCUGAGACACGAAUCCAGGCCCUACGGGGCGCAGCAGGCGCGGAAACUUUACAAUGCAGGAAACUGCGAUAAGGGAACUCUGAGUGUUUGGGACAUUCUCAAACUGUUCUAAUACCUAAAUAGUAUCAGAUAGUAAGGGCCGGGCAAGACCGGUGCCAGCCGCCGCGGUAACACCGGCGGCCCGAGUGGUAACCGAUAUUAUUGAGCUUAAAGGGCCCGUAGCCGGCCUGGAAAGUCCCUUGGGAAAUCUAACGGCUUAACCGUUAGGCGUCCAGAGGAUACUACCAGGCUUGGGACUGGGAGAGGUAGGAGGUACUCCAGGGGUAGGGGUGAAAUCCUGUAAUCCUUGGGAGACCACCGGUGGCGAANGCGUCCUACCAGAACGGCUCCGACGGUGAGGGACGAAAGCUAGGGGCACGAACCGGAUUAGAUACCCGGGUAGUCCUAGCCGUAAACGAUGCANGCUANGUGUCACUGUAGCCAUGAGCUAUUGUGGUGCCGCAGGGAAACCGUGAAGCUUGCCGCUUGGGAAGU